CUUUUCUUCACCCGAUUUUUCUCUUCUCCUUCAUCACCCUUCCUUCAAAGCUGGCUCAUUUUUUCUCAUUCAUAAAGCUUUCUUCACUUGGUUGCCCUUUUGCCAAACAGCCUCGUUUCAUCUCUCCGGUCACCAAGUAUUCAAGUUCUAAAAUGUAUCACAAGAGAGGACUUUGGCUAUCAAGGCCAAAAAAGGCGGCUUUUUCCCUCGUCACGAUCCGAAGCCUGCCGCAGAGAACCCACCUCAAAAACCUCCCAAGUUCUACCCCGCUGAUGAUGUCAAGAAACUGCUUGUCAACAAGAGCAAGCACAAGCCCACCAAGCUCAAAUUCAAUUCCAAAAAGGAUGAGUAUUACACCGGAGACGGUGUUGAUUGUGUUGGCUGGGAGAUUUAAAGGGAAGAGAGUUGUAUUCCUGAAGCAACUUUCAUCUGGCUUGCUUCUGGUGGGCAAGACCGAUCCAUACGUUAUUUUAAGCCUAGGGGACCAAGUCAUACGCAGCAAAAAGAACAGUGAAACCACAGUCAUUGAACCUCCUGGUGAACCAAUUUGGAAUCAGGUAAAGGUCCUUGUAAUUCUGCUUCGACGUUUGUAUUUAAAUGAAGUUGUAAAAGUUUUUCUAAAUGAUCAUAUAUGUUUAUAUAUAUAUAUAUAUAUAUGCUUGCUGGCAGGAUACAAGCAACUAUAGAACAUUGUCUGGUCAUAUGCAUCUUCUAUCAAGUCAUAUAAGAUAUUUGGUGAUGCAGUGGUGUUUGAUACCACUCAUUGCUUGACUACAUUUGAUAUGCCACUUGGGAUAUGGGUUGGAAUGAAUAAUUAUGGUAUGCCUUGCUACUUUGGUUGCUUGCUUCAACGAGAAGAAAAUCUGAGGUCUUUUUGAUGGGCAUUGAAGGUAAUAGAGCGAAAAUAGAAUACAAUACAAAUAUAUUCUAUUAGUCAUUUUGUGUAGAAAGGAAGUGGGUUUAUUGGUGGUUUUGUGUAGAAAUUAUGAUAAUACAAAUUUUCGAUAAUUAUGAUAAUAUAAAUUUUUUUGUUAGCCAAACCAUCUAUUGUAUGGUUUGUGGGUGUAAUUGCUAAAGCAACAAGUGUGAUUGCUGUUUUGAAGGAUAAGACGUAAGGUUGCUCAUGCUCAUGACUAAAUUUUAUAUUUAUUACUCAUAUAACUUCAUGGAACUAGGUUAAUUAAUCUUUAGACAAGCAUGUAUUCUAUCAAAUUGUUCUAAUAGUAUUAUCAUCACUUGCUUAUUCCUUUCUCUUUCUAUUACGCAGAGAAAACUAAUUUCUACUUACACAUUUGUUAUGUCAUUUAAUUUUAUUUUUCUAAAGCCUAGUUGACAAAUAAUCUGUUUUGCUAUUUGUGAAAAUAUUAAUCGUCUUUGUAAAAGUCAUAAACUUCAUAUUUAAUUUGAUUAUUGUUACGUUUUACACUUUGAUAUGUUAUUUUGCCGUUGGGCUAGACAUUAUUGAUUAAUAUUUAUCAUUCUCUUGUUUCAUUUUGAUAUGUUAUUUUGCAGUUUGGUUAAACAUUAUUGAUUAAUAUUUAUCAUUCUCUUGUUUUUCAUUGGAUAUAUUUUAGUGUUGACAAGUUAAGGAAGCUUUUGUCUGAUAAGGAUGCAUACCAUCAAUUUUUACUUUUGCUCGAUCAAGUUAAAAUUCAAAAUAAUGGAGAACUUGGAAAAGGAACCGCACAUUAUGGAGCUCAGAAAUCAGAAUUAUGAGAACAACAGACUUGGCUGCUGUAGAGGAGAAGCUAUAUUGAGCUUGAGAGACAAAAGGAAGAAAUGUUGAGUUUCUUUGUAACACCCCGUCCCGAACCAUGUCGGAAUUUUUGCACGUUGACCGAGAUUGACUGUUGACCGUUGACCAAGGGGUCAAAAGUUGACUUUUUGAUCCGAUUGGAAUUCUAGGUUGACUGAGAUACCGUUACGAAGUACACGUUGGCACGAGUUCGUAGACUAGUAGCACGUUCAAAACGGAGCUACGGUUUGAAAGUUAUGAGCAAAACAAGUUGAGGUCCAAACUGUCCAAGGGGUGCCGGAGUUGACUUUUUAUUCAUGCAAAGUUGAGCUUUGACUCAUGCAUGGUUGUGAAGUGUUCAUCGAUACGAGUCCGUAGACUAGCGGCACGUCCGAUUUGGACAUGUGGUUUGAAAGUUAUGGACCUGUAGAGUUUUUCAAACACCGUAUUAUUUUAAUAUUAUUUUUUAAACAUGUAACGAUGUGUCACGUGUGACUUAAUGAAGGUGACCAUGUGUCACCAUGUUGAGAAGCCACAUGUCAACCAUGUGUAAUAUCAAAUUAUUUUUAUUAUUAUUUUUAUUAUUAUUUUAAAUAAUAAUAUUAUUAUUUAAUUAUUUAAUUAUUUUUAAUUUUCCUUUUUCUUUUUCUUUUUCUUUCCUUUUUCUUUUCUUUUUCUUUUUCUUUUCUUUUCCCCACGUGGGAAAAAAAGGGCCAGGGCCCGAUCCUCUCCUUCUUCUUCUUUUUCUUUCUUUCUUUCUUUCUUUCUUUCUUUCUUUCCACCGCCCGUCUCUCUCUCUCUCCCUGCUGCACAUUUUCCAGCCACCGGAACCACGCACGCGCCGGCCGACGUGAAAGCCCGCAGCUGGUGACACCGGCGGCCAAAUCUUCGGCCGAAUGGCCAGCGGACGAGCCGGGAUCGGCCUCCAACGCCGGCGGCCGGUGUGUCGCCAGUUUGGCCAUUUUCCGACAGCCACCGGUCGUGCAACCGGUCCUUUCCCACUAAUUUGGACCCUCUGAGUCCGAUUCUGAGCUCCAAUUAACUCAACUCCCGUCGAUUUGCAAGAUACGAAGGGAUUAAAACCGGCCGAAUCUUUCCGACCAAAUUCCGGCCACCGCCGGUCGAAUUGAACUCAAUGGAGGUCGGUAAUGGGAUCCUCAUCUCACAAGCUUUCCAUAGACAUAUAAUUUGUCAAUUUUGGAUAACGUUUGUGUUUGACCUCCCCGGGUACCGGGUAUUAAUUAUCCGAUUAAAAUAUUAAUUUAUUUAACUGUGUGUGAAUUUUGUUCUAGGAGCACGGGUGAGUCAUGGAAUUGAUCCCAUGGUGGAUCAUGGUUUAAUUGCGUGCUCCAGGUGAGUGACCCACCUUUAAAAAUAUUUUGGACAAUUUAUUAUAUUUAUUUGGUGUUUAUUUGAUAUCUGUAAUUUGUGCUCAUGUGGCAUAUUUUAAAUAUAAUCGGGAAAAAUAUUAUUUUAUAUAUAUUUAUCCAUUAGUGCUAAACGGAAAUUUGGGGGUCAUUAAGAAAUUCCCGAUUAUUAUUUUAUUGUGAUUAAAUGGUAUUUAUUACACAUGAGCAAGUAUUUUCAGUAAUUGAUUGUGUCUGGAUUUUAUAUCUUUUUUGGGCAAUUAAUUAUGUUUAAUUGGUAUUUAAAUUAUGCUCAUGUGGUACAAUUUGGUUAUGGUUUUAUUGUGGUUUAAUUUAUUUAUUAUGCAUGAGCAAAGUAUAUUUCGGUAAUAAUCGUAUGUGGUUUUAAGUAUUAUUUUCGGGCAUAAUUGGGUUAAAUAUUUUAUGAAAAUAUUUGGUUAAAUUUUAUAAAUUAUGCCCGCGGUAUUUUUAUUGUUGAACCUCGUACUUCAAGAAAAUUGUGGUUUAUUUGUUAUCGAUAUUUUCGUACCGGUUUGUUAAAUAAAAAUAUGUGGGAUGGUAAGUGUGAAAUUUUGAUAUAUUUCCCACGGUAAUUUUGGAAAACGGUACGGUUGGUUAAUAAUAAUUGUUUUAGAUGCACUUAUACAGUAUUGGUGUUCUGGUGUAUGGACACGUGGUAGCGCGCAAGUAUUAUGUGGUUUAGCGCGCAAGUAUUAUUUCUCCCGUGGUUGCCAUUGGACUGGGCAGGCAAGUUUGAUAUUGGCAACAGCCGCCCCUCCCUUGGCCAGGAUGAUGGUUUCAGCAGCGGUAUUGUCGGGACGCCGAAGUGCCGUUUGCAAGUUUCUCUCUUUAAUCUCUCCGCCAAUCGGUGCUCGGGACGCUGGGUAUUGGAGGGCAUCACUAGUAUAUGGUUCAGGUUGGAGACGUUGAUUGUCCGGGGCGAGUCCAACAUCUCAGUUCGAUGCCGAAAGUCCAAGAAGUAUAUCUUCCCUUUUUCCUCUCUAUCCUAUGCAAUGAACAUAACAGAUGAGGAAUCUGAAAGUCUGCACAAGCAGCUUUUUGUGCAGAUAUACAAGGAGCUUCGCACCACUUAAGCGAGCACUCAUUCAUCUUGUAGUUAAAACAAAUUCACUCAGUUGAAUUGAUAUUAUAGAAAGAUAUAUACUUGGAACACAUUGAAACCUUACUUCUAGUUUCAAUGCAUUGGCUAGAUAAACAUGAUUGUCUGUGUAUUAUUUGGUUAAAUA